CAAGACCUUGCGCUUUUGGAGCGGCCGAUGUCUGAUUAGCUAGUUGGUGAGGUAAAGGCUUACCAAGGCUUCGAUCAGUAGCUGGUCUGAGAGGACGACCAGCCACACUGGGACUGAGACACGGCCCAGACUCCUACGGGAGGCAGCAGUGGGGAAUUUUGGACAAUGGGGGAAACCCUGAUCCAGCCAUGCCGCGUGAGUGAAGAAGGCCUUCGGGUUGUAAAGCUCUUUCAGCCGGAGCGAAAAGGUUACGGUUAAUACCCGUGACUAAUGACGGUACCGGAAGAAGAAGCACCGGCUAACUACGUGCCAGCAGCCGCGGUAAUACGUAGGGUGCGAGCGUUAAUCGGAAUUACUGGGCGUAAAGCGUGCGCAGGCGGUUUUGUAAGUCAGAUGUGAAAUCCCCGGGCUCAACCUGGGAACU
rnacentral:rRNA from 1 species